rnacentral:rRNA from 1 species
UUACCUGGUCCGGACAUCAAAAGGAUAGACAGACCGCGGAUCUUUCUAGAUAUGGUGAUUGGUGGUGCAUGGCCGUUCUUAGUUCGUGGAGUGAUCUGUCAGGCCAAUCCCGGUAACGAACGAGACCACAGUCUCCAUUUGACGAGUAGGAGAAGACGUCGAUUUUGAGUUAAAUUGCUCGCAGUUGGGCUCGCUAUUGGCGUUGAAGGCAUUGUUGAGGAGCGCUUGUGCACCAGCUGAGGUGGAAACACUGAGGUCGGGGGCGUUUGUCGUUUUGAUGCAAUCCCUCCUGCUGAGCAGUACACCUCUCGCAAGAGCGGUGUGUUGUAUCAUGGAGAGACAACGGAAUAUAUUAAAAAAAUCCGAGGAAGUGUGGCUAUAACAGGUCUGUGAUGCCCUUAGAUGUUCAGGGCUGCACGCGCGCUACAAU